GGACCAAAGCUUAGUGAUUAGAGCAUCUGCUUUGAAUGCAGAAGGCCUCAGGUUCAAUCACUGGCAUCUCCA